rnacentral:rRNA from 1 species
UACAUGGGGUGCAAACGUUGCUCGGAAUUAUUGGGCGUAAAGCGCACGUAGGCGGUCCGUUAUGUCGGAUGUGAAAGCCCUCGGCUCAACCGAGGAAGUGCAUCCGAAACUGGCGGGCUAGAGUACGAAAGAGGGUCGCGGAAUUCCCGGUGUAGAGGUGAAAUUCGUAGAUAUCGGGAGGAACACCGGUGGCGAAGGCGGCGAUCUGGGUCGAUACUGACGCUGAGGCGCGAAAGCUAGGGGAGCGAACGGG